rnacentral:rRNA from 1 species
AGGAUAAACGCUGGCGGCGUGCCUAACACAUGCAAGUCGAACGCGUCUUUUUUCGCAAGAGGAGAGCGAGUGGCGGACGGGUGAGUAACACAUGGGUACCUACCUUGGAGUGAGGGAUACCGGCGAAGAAAUCGCCGACAAUACCGCAUACGCUUCUCUUCACCGGGAAGCAAAGUUGCGCAAGCGACGCUCUGAGAUGGGCCUGUGGCCGAUUAGCUAGUUGGUGGGUAACGGCCUACCAAGGCGACGAUCGGUAGCUGGUCUGAGAGGACGAUCAGCCACACUGGGAUUGAGAACGGCCCAGACUCCGUACGGGGGCAGCAGUGAGGAAUUUUCCGCAAUGGACGCAAGUCUGACGGAGCAACGCCGCGUGCAGGAUGAAGGUUUUCGGAUCGUAAACUGCUUUUCUCGGGGACGAGCAAGGACGGUACCCGAGGAAGAACGCCCCGGCUAACUACGUGCCAGCAGCCGC